CACGUAGGCGGAUAUUUAAGUCAGGGGUGAAAUCCCAGAGCUCAACUCUGGAACUGCCUUUGAUACUGGGUAUCUUGAGUAUGGAAGAGGUAAGUGGAAUUCCGAGUGUAGAGGUGAAAUUCGUAGAUAUUCGGAGGAACACCAGUGGCGAAGGCGGCUUACUGGUCCAUUACUGCGCUGAGGUGCGAAAGCGUGGGGAGCAAACA
rnacentral:rRNA from 1 species